GACAGAGGAUGCAAGCGUUAUCCGGAAUGAUUGGGCGUAAAGAGCUCGUAGGCGGUUUGUCGCGUCUGCUGUGAAAACCUAAGGCUCAACCUUGGGCUUGCAGUGGGUACGGGCAGACUAGAGUGCGGUAGGGGGUGACUGGAAUUCCUGGUGUAGCGGUGGAAUGCGCAGAUAUCAGGAGGAACACCAAUGGGCGAAGGCAGCUCGCUUGGGACGGUACU
rnacentral:rRNA from 1 species